GAAACCUUUACACUGCACGCCAGUGCGAUAAGGGGACUCCGAGUGCGAGGCAUAUCGUCCUCGCUUUGUGUACCGUAGGGCGGUACACGAAUAGAGCUGGGCAAGACCGGUGCCAGCCGCCGCGGUAAUACCGGCAGCUCAAGUGAUGCCCAAUCUUAUUGGGCCUAAAGCGUCCGUAGCUGGCCUCGAAAGUCCGUCGGGAAAUCCACUGGCUCAACCAGUGGGCGUCCGGCGGAAACUUCGAGGCUUGGGACCGGAAGGCUCGAGAGGUACGUCCGGGGUAGGAGUGAAAUCCCGUAAUCCCGAACGGACCACCGAUGGCGAAAGCAUCUCGAGAAGACGGAUCCGACAGUGAGGGACGAAAGCUAGGGUCUCGAACCGGAUUAGAUACCCGGGUAGUCCUAGCCGUAAACGAUGUUCGCUAGGUGUGGCACAGGCUACGCGCCUGUGCUGUGCCGUAGGGAAGCCGAGAAGCGAACCGCCUGGGAAGUACGUCUGCAAGGAUGAAACUUAAAGGAAUUGGCGGGGGAGCACUACAACCGGAGGAGCCUGCGGUUUAAUUGGACUCAACGCCGGACAUCU
rnacentral:rRNA from 1 species